GAUGAAGAACGUAGCGAAAUGCGAUACGUAAUGUGAAUUGCAGAUUUCAGUGAAUCAUCGAAUCUUUGAACGCACAUUGCGCCCGCUAGUAUUCUGGCGGGCAUGCCUGUUCGAGCGUCAUUUCAACCAUCAAGCCCUAGGCUUGCGUUGGAGCCCUGCGGCUGCCGCAGGCUCCCAAAUCCAGUGGCGGGCUCGUCGUCGUACCGAGUGCAGUAAACAUCCUCGCUCAGGGAACGUGACGGGUUCUUGCCGUGAAAUCCCCCACAUAUCAAGGUUGACCUCGGAUCAGGUAGGAAUACCCGCUGAACUUAAGCAUAUCAAUAAGCGGAGGA
rnacentral:misc_RNA from 1 species